CUCAGUUGCAGUGAGAUGUGAGGCACUUGCAGAGACUCAGUCCACCACCCUGGGCAGCUUUCACCACCCUGGGCAGCUUUUCCGAGACGUAGGGACUGGCUUGCCGUAAUUCAUAGCUUCUGCUGUCCCUUGCUACAUACCUAACUCUCAGAUCCUAGAUGAAAAUGAGACCAGAAGAUGGAAGAAUCUGGAUCUCAAAAGACUCUCACUCUAUUACCCAGGCUGGAGUGCGGUGGCAUGAUCUCGGCUCACUGCAAACUCUGCCUCCCCAGUUCAAAUGAUUCUUCUGCCUUCUGCCUCAGCCUCCCAAAUAGCUGGAACUACAGGCCAACUUUUCUACCAGAUAACCCUGACCUCAUCCUGUCAGAAUUGAAUGGACCAAGAAUUGAGCUACCCUAAAAGGCCAGUUUUCUGGAAAUAGUUUGAAGAUACCGACUCAUGGUUAAAUGUUUCACAUUUACCCUCAGAAAUGAGUGCUACUGUUCAGAAACGGAGGUGCCCACUUUGCUUGUGGGAUUUAGGAGGAAAUGCCACACACUGUCAUAGAAAAAAUGGCGUCUCACUCUAUUGCCCAGGCUAGAGUACAAUAGUGCAAUCUUGGCUCACUGCAACCUCCCCCUCCCAGGUUCAAGCCAUUCUCCUGCCUCAGCCUCCCGAGUAGCUAGAACUACAAGCACGUGCACUGUACCCAGCUAAUUUUUUGUAUUUUUAGCAGAGACGGGGUUUCUCCAUGUUGGCCAGGCUGGUCUCGAACUCCUGACCUCAGGUAAUCCACCGCCUCAUCCUCCCAAAAUGCAUUAUCUCUUCCCAAAAUGCAUUAUCUAUUUCAUUAAGAAAAAGGAGAAAGCAACCAUGCUAAGCUUCAAAUAAAAGCAUGUGAGCACACCUGAUGACGCUAGACCCACUGGAAUCUCGCAUAACUCAUCCUGAACGUGUUGGGAAUCAAGUCUCUCAGGAUUAGCCCUGGUAAUCUGAAAGUCACCAGUCAUCAAGAAGUGGCAUCUCUACCAUGUGGUGCAAUCAUAGCCCUGAACUCAAAUUUCUGUCUGAUAUAUUUGAUGUGAUCCCUCCUUUUAUACCCUUUUAACUUCUGCUUGGAGAGACCCACUGACCUUGUAGCUGACUGUCAGAACUUUUCCUUGCCAGGCCAGCAAUAAAUUUGGCAUUGUUUUGGACAUUGAUUUGGUGGUCUUUG
rnacentral:lncRNA from 1 species